GGUUAACUUUGUCUCUGCGGAUCUCACCCACGGGGUGGGGCUGGGGGGGGCUUUGUAUCCAGUCAGUUCUGCCUUCUCACACUUCUCUUCCCCUCCAUGCCAGGGGGCCUCACACCUGAUCCUCCCCAGCAGGUAGGUAGCUGCAAGGAGGAGCCAAGGGCUGCAGCGAGGGCAUGUAGCCCACCACAUCUCUGGGAAGUGGGCAAGCACAGUCGCUCCAGACAUUUCGGAGAAACCUAACUGGACCACGUGGGACCCAGGAAGUUCCAGUCACAUGCUGUAUGCUGGUGGUGACGCUGGCAGGCCCUGGGGUCUCAGAUACAGCUAGUUAGGGGCGGGGUUGAGGAGAUUGGCUGCAUUUGUCUGAGGUCCACAGACCUCAGAGUUCCCCUGAAGGACUGUUUUGUCUCCAUCUCCCACAGACCUCGGGAGCACAGGUGAGAAACGCUGACAGACAAGGUGGCUUCAGCAUUUUCAUGGCUUGCUUUGCUUCUGUUUUGAAACAGGGUUUUUCUAUUUAGCCCAGGCCAGCCUCAAAUUUACAGCCUACCGACUGCUGGGAUUACGGGUGCGGGUGCGUGCUGCCUGGUCUGGGGUUCGCGUGGCUGGCAGAGCUUAGUGCUGUGUGGCCCCUUCCCCAGAGCGCCCCAGGCUCACUCUCUAUGCGAAGCUUCUUUUGUUCCAUGAUGUGCACCUCGUUGGUGUUGGUGAUGUCCAGGGUGGCCUGG
rnacentral:lncRNA from 1 species